rnacentral:antisense_RNA from 1 species
CAAUACCUUGGACUCUCAAACACAAAGUUUACCCAUUCAUCUCUCAUACAUUGAAAGUGUUGAACCAGGAUUCACAGAGAAAUAAAAAAAUGGAUCUACAUCUUGCAUUUAAGGAAUUCUAGUAUUCAUGGAAGGGAAUAGUGUAAUAUCAAUAAGUUAAAUAAGUUUAACAUUACUUAAGGCAUCACAUUCCAAAUCACA